UUGUAUGAAGCCAAAAUAGAGGCCUGUCUCUGUUAAAGACACCAUUAGAUAAAAUUCUCUUGCAAA
rnacentral:tRNA from 1 species